rnacentral:lncRNA from 1 species
GCUAGCUUCCUUUUCCGUCUGAGCUCAGGCAUAUCACAAAGGCUCUCUAAUGUGGGGGGAUACCAGUAAAAUAGUGAUGAAAACCAUAGGUACGAAUAUCUGCAAGUGGCUCACAUGAAAGUAUUUAUUGCUUUUCAUGCAUGAGCAUUAAACCAUAGUGAAAAGCAAACCUUGAUUGAAAAUGCAUUAAUUAUUUGACACUGGUUUUCCUCAGUCUUUUUUUUCCCCCUUUUUUUUUUUUUUCUUUUUGCUAUGGGAUGCAAGUGAAAGAUUACAGCUGAAAAAAUGAUCAUCAUACUUGAGUUUACUUUGUAGCAAAAAAUAAGAAACAAAUUCCUUGCUUGUUGAGAAUAAAUAAGAAGACAGUUUUCCUGAAGAUAAUUCGACUAGAGCACUUUCCCAACGAUCAGUGACACAUGAGGAAGCCCACAAUUUCACAGGAGUUAGCAGUGAGUGGUGUGCAAAUGCAGAAGGCACAAGGUGGAGGAGAAAAGGAAGAAGGAAGGGGAAAAAAAGGAAGGAAUCAAGAUAUUCUACAAAAUCAAGCUGUAUUUGGACCUUCUUGAAUGUCUCCAUUCGACAUUUGGACACUCAAGGACUUCCAUUUAUUCUACUACAUUAUUUGCACAUCCUCGUCCUUACAAAGCUUUCUAUUAAGUUGGUAGACUUCUAAAUACUGGCAUGGAUAUAGAAAUAUAUGUAUAUAUAUAUAUAUAUAUAUGUAAUUGAAAGGUAAAUUAUAGCCUUUGUUUUCACAUUGCUUGGGCAUAACAUCAUAGACAUUUUUUACAGCAUUAUUUCUUUGAAAGUCAUCAGUUUCUGCCUGUUCUUACUGUAACUUAUUCAAGUCUAACCUUUCCUUGAAAUCUCAUUUUAAAAUAAUGUUUGUAUUAAUGGCCUAUUAACAGGCUGUCAUUUAAAAUAAGGUUAAAUGUUUAAAAAGUAAGACCAAGCUUAAACCAUUGUUCCGAAAAAUCUUUCAUUUAUUGCAUUCCUUGUGGCUAUUUAAAGACAAAAUUGUAUAGUUAGAGGAUAAAUUACAAAUACAGUAGCCUGUUGUAUUAUUAUAUGAAAUAAUGAAAACUGUGCUGAAAUUUGUAAUAUUAAUUAAGCCUUUUGACUAUUAAUUAAGACUUUUGACUUUUGAUGCAAAAGAUGCUUUUAUUGAUGUUUCUUCAAAGUUCUGUAAUUAAUUAAAUGUAUGUGACAUUUAAAUGAUAUAUUACCAGUACAUCUUCAUUUUGUUUUGGGACUCAAAAACUAGAUAUAGACUAUUUAGUACACUGAGGAAAGAGUUCAAUAUGCAGACGAUUGAGUCACAUGAUUCCCAUUAAUUUUAAUGGGAGUUACAUGAAUAAAUCUGUGUGCUGAAAAUUAUGAGGAGUUAAUGUCAAUAGAAUUUACUGUUGCCAAUUUUGGUCUGUGAAGCUUUGUUCCUGGCUACCUGCACCUCCGUAAAGUUCCUGAAAGGAGCAGAGGAGGGAGUACUAUGAACUAAAUAAAAGGAAAGUAUUCAUAGUAUAAAAAGUCUAUGAUACCAGGUAGGAAUAUAGCUGUAUAAAUACCGCUGCUGGAUUUCUGUGAAUUGCAAGCACAAAUGGUGUCAAACUGAAUUUAUUCAGCAUCCCUAAAGAAAUGUGAGGGAAUCCCUUUCCACUGUCAGAAGAAAUUAAAUAGAAGUUAUCAUUUUUUAGUUCUGUUCCAUUCUGUUUCAUAAGUAAGCAGUGAACACGGAAAGACUUCUAGAAAAAGAAAAAAAAAAGGAAAAAUAUAAAGAAAGGAGGAAAAGACGA